UUGUGGGGCUCCUGCUUGGGGGGGGAAAGCUAAAAGAAAGUUCAAGUGUUCUCCUUGACAGAUCUUGAACUGAUCUGUUUAGGACUCUGAGCUGUAUCCCUCCAAAGGGAAGCGUCUCUUGCUAUGUUGCUGCCUGCUGCCUAUAUUGUGGUUGGGCAAUUGCAAAGAAGAUUGGAUCCAGGGAAAACCUGGGUGUGCUCCUGAGCUGCAUGUUGUGGCCAAAGUUCUCAGUGAAACAGUGCAAAACAUGUACCUCUGACACUGGAAAUUGGGAGCGGGGAAGGAAGUAUUGAAUUCUGCUCACGUCCAUCCAUGUCCAUCAAUCCAUAUUGACACAGCACAGGCUCCAGAUCUGCAAAUGCUGCCGACAGCAAUGCCAUCUCCUUCAUGUGUGUCUGGAAGCUACAGAUUCAUAGCAAAAAUUAUCUAGGACUGCAACUCAGAAAUUUGGAGACUGAACUACUGCAGUAAAGAUACUGAUGUGUCUUUGAAGCACCACAAAUUGCCCAGCAUAUGUAAUCCUGUUCUCUGAAGUGGAGAGAUGAGAUCCUUUUAUGCUUGGAAUGAACAAACCCUGACUAAACCACAGCCUUCUCAAACAGCUAACUAAAUAUGCGAUGAAAACGGAAUCUGACGGUUGGCUACUUGACUGACCAAGGAAAGAUGCUGAACAUAAACUGUAAACAAUACUAAUGGAGGAAAUGAGAGCUUGGGACUCCUUGGUGGUGCUGUGGAUUUUCAAGUGCUGAAGUGGCAGGAUGUGGAGAACGCGCCAUAGGUUGCCGAGGAAUUUUAUACUCUUCCUGGAUAACGUUGCUCUGAGCUGCUCCUGCAAACUGUGGGCAUUAUUCUGGUUCCUGGAGAGUGGAGCACUUUCUCCCAAUUCCUUUUCCUUGGCAGCGGCACAGCAGAGGUGAUCAGGCUUCAUGGGGACAGUGUUUUGCUGCUCAUGGUUCCCAGCUCUCUUUUCAUCUGUGUCUCUGCAUUUCUAAUUUACUUGGUGCUGUGGGCAAGAUUCUAAUUUUAGCAACCUUGUGCAAUUACUCGGAAGUCACUGGAGUUAAUCCACAAGUACAGUGGGGCUCCAAUCAGCCUUAUGUUGUCUUCUCAGUUCCUUUUCCCCACCCCAUUCCCCUGGCAAUAAACUUGCUCUCUGUGGUUUUAA